UACGUAGGGGGCAAGCGUUGUCCGGAUUCAUUGGGCGUAAAGGGCGCGUAGGCUGCGGGGCAAGUCGGGUGUGAAAUCUCAGAGCUCAACUCUGAAACUGCACUCGAUACUGCUUUGCUUGAGGACUGGAGAGGAGAUUGGAAUUCACGGUGUAGCAGUGAAAUGCGUAGAUAUCGUGAGGAAGACCAGUGGCGAAGGCGGAUCUCUGGACAGUUCCUGACGCUGAGGCGCGAAGGCCAGGGGAGCAAACGGG
rnacentral:rRNA from 1 species